UAGAGAGGUAGCACCUUUGCUUCGGGAUGACUGGGCACUGGUCCUCAUGACAACCAGGGCUGGGUGACGCGUCCGUGCCUAAAAGCACACAUAGCCUCUCCUCAGCCAGGACCGUACUGCGUGGUGCAGAGCCACAUCCUACUCGAGGUGAUCCUGUUAACGCAGAACAGUACGGAUCUAGACUGGGAGGUCAAUAAAUAUCCCUGGUGGAGGGCAGCAGCGACCACCAGUACCAGGAUGGGGCGCAAAGAAAAUGACUCUGGACCGGCUCAUUACUGGAUCACUACAAGUAUGACUGUAGCAGUUUUAAUAGUUGUGGUACUGCGAUACAGAAAAGAAACGGAACUCUUACUGUAUUAUACUUUCCAAAAAAUCUCAAUGGCUGAAGAAAACACAAAAAUGGCCCUCAGUCCGGGGCACCCCUUAAGUGGGGAGAGGGUGCGAAGAAUACCCCCGUCUUCCACUAGUGAGAAAUAUGCAGAUAGAGACAGCGAAAAAUUCAAAAUCUACGGUAAAAUCGUCCGCAUUGCCACAUGGAAUACACGCAGCUUAUUUAUGGCAGGAAAACUUACAAACGUUGAAUGCGAGAUGAACAGAUUGAACAUAGACAUCAUGGGAAUGAGUGAAGUCAGAUGGCCUAACUCUGGAAAACAAAAAACUAAAAGAGGGACCAUGUACUAUUCAGGAGGCACUGAUCCGGACCAUAGAUAUGGAACGGCAAUACUUGUCUCAGAGAGAAUAGCAAAGUCAGUGACAGAGUUCAUUCCCCUAAGUGAUAGGGUCAUGAUGCUAAAACUACAAACAACCCACAGAAAUUUAAACAUAAUCCAGAUCUACGCUCCAACACAGGACAAAUCAGACCAAGAAAUCGAAGAAUUCUACUCCCAAGUUGAUGAAGCCAUGCGACUGACAAGGAAGGGUGAAAUAAGUAUGGUUAUUGGUGACUUCAAUGCCAAGGUAGGCCGUGGUUCUGAUGGAGAUAGUGUAGGGAAUUACGGUCUUGGAACGCGCAAUGAAAGAGGCGACAGACUGAUACAGUUCUGUGUAGAAAACAACCUAAUCAUAACUAACACCUUUUUUAAGCUUCACCCCAGAAGACUAUAUACCUGGAGAUCACCUGCAGACAGAGAGGGGACGAUUAUCAGAAACCAGAUUGAUUUUAUUCUCAUAGGACAGGAAUUCAAAAAAUACAUAAAAGCAGUGAAAACAUACCCUGGCGCAGACAUUAAUAGUGAUCACAAUCCUGUGGUGAUAGACUUCAAACUCAAACGAUUUAUGAAUACCAAAAGGGAAAAGACCACAAAACAAAUAGACUUUGCACAACUGAAUAACACCAAAAAGAAACAAGAAAUAAGUUUGAAAAUAGAAAGAGAAAUAGAAGCAGCAGUCAGUUUGGCACCAGAAAGGGAAAUAGAGACGACAUGGAACAUAUUUAAAAACAAAAUAACCAACAUAGAGGAACAGGACAUCGGCUACAUAAAGAACGACAGGAAGAAAGAGUGGAUGACACAGGAAAUUAUGGACCUAAUGAAUGAGAGAAGGAAACUUAAAACAAAGCCGACAGAAUACAAACAACUAAAUAGAACUAUUAGAAAGAAAUGCAGAGAGGCAAAGGAACAAUGGUUGAUAGCAAAAUGCCAAGAAAUAGAGGAGCUACAAUCAAAACAUGACAGCUUUAAUCUGCAUAAAAGAAUAAAAGAGAUGACAGGCAAACACAGGCGACACCAUGCAUCAAUACUUAGGGACAAACACAAUGAAAUAAUUACGGGAAUAGAUGCUAAACUGAAAAGAUGGCAUGAGUACAUCGAACAGCUAUACAACGACGAAAGAACACACACCCCACCCUCAUAUAACAGCGAACUAAACGAAAAAGGUCCAGUAAUAUCCAAAUAUGAGGUCAUGCACGCCAUCAGAUCACAAAAAAAUAGAAAAGCUACUGGGCCAGACAAAAUUCAUGCAGAAACACUUAAACUAAUAGCAGAUAAUGAAGGCAAAAGCUUGGAUUUGAUAACAUCACUGUUUAACAAGAUCUAUAGUUCGGGCAAGAUACCAGCCGAUUGGCUAAAGUCAACUUUUAUAACGCUGCCCAAAAAAGUCAAUGCCUCUAAUUGUGACGAUUAUAGAAUGAUUAGCCUCAUGUCCCACGUGCUCAAAAUAUUUUUUAGAAUUGUCCACACAAGAAUAUACAGGAAAUGCGAACUGCAAAUAGGCGAAACUCAGUUUGGAUUCCGAAACGGACUAGGUACACGCGAAGCACUCUUCUCUCUGAAAGUGUUAACACAAAGAUGCAGGGACAUGAAUGUAAGCGUAUAUGCAUGUUUUAUCGACUACCGCAAAGCAUUCGAUUGCGUCAACCAUCAAAAGAUGAUCGAAAUACUAACAGCAACCGGUAUCGAUGAGCAGGACUUACGUAUUAUUUCAGAACUUUACUGGAGGCAAACAGCAGUGGUCAACAUCGAGCAAAACAUAUCAGAUGAGAUACUGAUCAAGAGGGGAGUUCGCCAGGGUUGUGUGCUGUCCCCACUAUUGUUUAACCUCUACUCGGAGGCUAUAUUCAGAGAGGCAAUGGAUGGAAUUAACGGAGGAAUAAAGAUCAAUGGCAUCAGCAUAACCAAUAUCAGGUACGCGGACGACACUGUUGUCAUGGCAAGCAGUCCGUCCGAGCUACAAAUCAUGAUAGAUCGCAUAGUCCAUUAUAGCCACUUUUUCGGAUUGCAAUUAAAUGUCGCCAAAACCAAAACACUAGCGUUCUCAAAAACGGUUACUCAUGUACAUCUAAAUGUUAAUGGGAAGCCAGUUGAACAAGUCGACUCAAUCAAAUACCUGGGAGCCAAUAUCAAUAGCCAAUGUAAUCCGAAGAAGGAAAUAUUGUCGAGAAUCGAGCAGGCGAGAAGAACAUUUAUGAGCAUGAGGGUAUUCUUCAUAAGAUCUGACAUAAGUCUUGAGCUCAGAUUGAGAAUGGUGAGAUGCUUCAUCUUCUCUGUUUUGCUUUAUGGAUGCGAGAGCUGGACACUCGAUGCUCAAACAGAGAAGAGACUAGAAGCGUUCGAGAUGUACAUAUAUAGAAGAAUACUGCGGAUCUCAUGGGUACAGAAAAUCACCAAUAAUGAGGUUUUGAAUCGCAUGCACGGGUCUCGCGAAUUAUUAAAUAUAAUAAAACAGAGAAAAGUGCAGUAUCUUGGCCAUGUUAUGAGGGGCGAAAAAUAUGAAUUUCUGAGGCUGAUAAUAGAGGGCAAAGUCCAAGGUAAAAGAUCGAUAGGAAGACGCCAAAACUCGUGGCUCAAGGACCUCAGGAGGUGGUUUAAUCGCUCAUCAAUAGAAAUAUUCCGGGCUGCAGUUUCCCGAGCCACAAUAGCCAUUUGGAUCGCCGACCUUCGAAAGGAGAGGGCGUAGUAAGAAGAAAGAAGAAGAAGUAUCUGUUUGGAUGGCAGCUCUUCAGACAGGAGAAAAAGCGGCCGUGGCAGCGAAAUCGGCGGUUCACGGAUCGCUCCACUAUCUGAACAAGACCAUUUUCAACGACACUAAGCCAUUCGAAAAGCUGACGACAAAGGCGGACGAAGCUAAUGCGGAGGGCG